ACUUGGAUCUCUCUUUUCCUUAGCUGUGAAUCAAGGGGCAUGGAAUAAAUGACCUCACAGGUCCCCUUCAUUGUUAUAUUCCACGAUGUAAACAUAAUGGGAGGGGUCAGUGCUAAUAGGACAGAAAGGGCCCCUUGCUCCUCUUAAGGAAAAAAAAAAUCAUAUGGGAUGGAAUUGAUGUAUGAGAUCUUGUCAUAAAGCUAGAUCCAAGUUUGGAGCAUAGAUAUCAGUUCUUAAGUCACAAGAAUUGAACAGAGGAGAUGGUAGGAGCAGGACAAUGGGUCUAGUGUCCAGCACCUAGCAUGGCCAGAAACUUCAUUCAACAUUCCCCAGCAGCAGAUUUUCAGUGUCACCUUCUUCAAAGGAGGCCUUGUUUUCAUACUUUGGGAUCUUCAGUAUCUAGUAGAGUGUCUGGCACAGAAUCCGGCUCCCCCUUACCCCCUUUCUUCCAAAAGGAGGAUCAGCCUUACCUGUCUGCUUUUGUGAGGAUUAAAAAUCACCAGGUAUGGGGGAGAGAGUUUCUCAAAGGCUCCUUGUUCCCUGAGGGCCAUCACACUAAAUGGAGGAUGACGAUGAAGAUCUGCUUUCUGUAGCCAUGAGGAACACAUUCCAGCAUUUUGACUAAGCCCUUGAACUUGUCCCAGUCUCAGAAGUGCUCAUCUGUACCUCUGCCAGCAGAUGGAGAUGUUUGACAACAGAGAAAAUAGCCCAACUAAAGCCAUCAUCAAUCACUUCACUCUGAAGGCUCCAACAAUGCAGGACCAGUAUUGGUUCAGUGGAAUCUUCUUCUUCUAAAGCACCAUUUCCCAAGCUAAUUUGACUACAGAACACAUUGGGUCUUGUAAUAAAUCAACAAACUUACCAAUGUUGCUCUAGGGGCCUUUUAUAACAGGUAAAGAAUAUCCCUGGGGUAAGGGAUAAGGGAGAGGUAUUUGGGGGCAAAAUAG